CCCGCUCAGAAACUUAAAGGAAUUGACGGGGCCCGCACAAGCGGUGGAGUAUGUGGUUUAAUUCGAUGCAACGCGAAGAACCUUACCUGGUCUUGACAUCCCGGAGACCCUUAGGAAACUAGGGGGUGCUUCCAUCUGGAAGAAUCUGGAGACAGGUGCUGCAUGGCUGUCGUCAGCUCGUGUCGUGAGAUGUUGGGUUAAGUCCCGCAACGAGCGCAACCCUUGCCUUUAGUUGCCAGCAGUUCGGCUGGGCACUCUAAGGGGACUGCCGGUGUUAAACCGGAGGAAGGUGGGGAUGACGUCAAGUCCUCAUGGCCUUUAUGACCAGGGCUACACACGUACUACAAUGGCCGAUACAAAGGGCAGCGACACUGCGAGGUGAAGCCAAUCCCGUAAAAUCGGUCUCAGUCCGGAUUGGAGUCUGCAACUCGACUCCAUGAAGUUGGAAUCGCUAGUAAUCGUGGAUCAGCAUGCCACGGUGAAUACGUUCCCGGGCCUU
rnacentral:rRNA from 1 species